CCUGGUGUCUAUGGCGAUGUGGAACCACUCCGAACCAUCUCGAACUCGGUUGUGAAACGCAUCUGCGGCGAAGAUAGUGAGCGGGUCGCUGCUCGUUAAACUAGCUCGAUGCCAGGU
rnacentral:rRNA from 1 species